rnacentral:lncRNA from 1 species
AAUUAGUUGUACAUGUAUGUGUAUUUAUAUUGAACAUAAUUAGCUAACCACAGCUCACAAUUUAUGCCCAUAUGCUCCAUGUAAUCUGUUUAUGGAACAGGUCAGAUGACAUAAUAUAGAUUUUGGCCAGUAAUCACAUUCUUUUUCCACAAACAACAUCUGAAAUGAUAAAGACAACAUCCACAUGAAUAGCUUCCAACAGGUAAAAUUAUUAUAACCCAUAUUUGCCAACCCAACUUUAAUCCCAUUUUGUUGGUCAAAUAUUUUGAGGAGAUGUAUGAUUCUAGCACGUGGCUCAGUAUUAUUAACUGGAAAGUAACUCUCAGGUAUCAAGGAUGUAGGACCAGGGAAUAUUGCAACUGGAGAGACAAGGAUGUAUGAGAAAGCUGAGCUGGGGGUGGAGCCACAUGCUCCAAGUUGGCCUUGAUAUAAAGGCCAAUCCAAAGCCUUGAUUUCACACAGCCUCAAUCUCAUUGUCCUUACUUGCCAGUUCCAGUAAAAGGUGCUCUCUCCUUUGUUCCCCCUCCAAAAAUGUUAUCAAAAGAUGCAGAGUUUUCCCUUCUCUGCUUUCUACCCCAUGACAGUACGGAAAUCACUGUCAUGUCCCCAGAAUGGAAGAAUUUGUCUCUUCUCUAGUUUUAUUCACAGUGAUGAAUAUAUUACCA